rnacentral:rRNA from 1 species
AGUGAACGCUGGCGGUAGGCCUAACACAUGCAAGUCGAACGGCAGCACAGUAAGAGCUUGCUCUUACGGGUGGCGAGUGGCGGACGGGUGACGCAUACAUCGGAAUCUACUUUUUCUUGGGGGAUAACGUAGGGAAACUUACGCUAAUACCGCAUACGACCUACGGGUGAAAGCAGGGGAUCUUCGGACCUUUCGCGAUUGUAUUAGCCGAUGUCGGAUUAGCUAGUUGGCGGGGUAAAGGCCCACCAAGGCGACGAUCCGUAGCUGGUCUGAGAGGAUGAUCAGCCACACUGGAACUGAGACACGGUCCAGACUCCUACGGGAGGCAGCAGUGGGGAAUAUUGGACAAUGGGCGCAAGCCUGAUCCAGCCAUACCGCGUGGGUGAAGAAGGCCUUCGGGUUGUAAAGCCCUUUUGUUGGGAAAGAAAAGCAGCAGGUUAAUACCCCGCUGUUCUGACGGUACCCAAAGAAUAAGCACCGGCUAACUUCGUG